CACAACUGUAGGGAAUAACCAGUGUGACAAGUCAAACAGUAUCGCACAAUGACACAGCUGUAGGGAAUAACCAGUGUGAUACGCUAAACAGUAUCACACAAUGACACAACUGGAAUAACCAGUGAAAUUUGUCAAACAGUAUCGCACAAUGACACAGCUGUAGGGAAUAACCAGUGUGACAAGUCAAACAGUAUCGCACAAUGACACAACUGUAGGGAAUAACCAGUGUGACAAGUCAAACAGUAUCGCACAAUGACACAACUGGAAUAACCAGUGAAAUACGUCAAA